rnacentral:lncRNA from 1 species
GGACGUUCCCAAAGGAAACUGAUGGACUCCCAGAUAGCUGAUUCUAUAGACUUCAUGGUAGAGAGAUUAGAGAGUCUGAACCAGAGUGAGUUGGCAUCCAGACUCACCCUCAACUGCUCUCCAGCCUAUAUUCAGCCACAGAAGGUUCAGGUGGAAGUAACAAUA